CAGUCGCCGCGGUAAUACGUAGGUCCCGAGCGUUGUCCGGAUUUAUUGGGCGUAAAGCGAGCGCAGGCGGUUUGAUAAGUCUGAAGUUAAAGGCUGUGGCUCAACCAUAGUUCGCUUUGGAAACUGUCAAACUUGAGUGCAGAAGGGGAGAGUGGAAUUCCAUGUGUAGCGGUGAAAUGCGUAGAUAUAUGGAGGAACACCGGUGGCGAAAGCGGCUCUCUGGUCUGUAACUGACGCUGAGGAGCGAAAGCGUGGGGGGCGAACAGGAUUAGAGACCCCCGUAGUCCCUGUCUCUUAUACC
rnacentral:rRNA from 1 species